AGAGCCAUAGCCCAUGCCCUGUGCCCAUCUGAGACCUCCAAAGACCCCCCAUGCACCUGGACACAUGCUCAGCUGAGGUCACAAUAACCCCCAUUGCUAUCUGGCAGUGCCAGGCUCCACACUGAGACUUGGUAUGCUGUUACCUAGAGGGAAGUGAGGGUAUCAAAUCCUGCUUUGUGCUGAAUGAGUGUGUCUUCUCUCUGGAGUUAACCAGCAUAGCCUAAAUGCCACACUACUGAGGACAGCCCAACUCAUACAUGGCUGGCUGAAAUCUCUGUCCAGAAACCUCAGAACCUCAAGACCCAACUUUUACCAAGAGACCUUGAGACUGCAGAGGACCUGACGAUGGGAUGCCAGAAAAAGACACAAGAGGACAACCCCACAGAGGCACUCAGAGGGAAGCAGUGAUCCUCCACUCUCCCUGCAUCCUGAUCUACUAGGAGUCUCUCUUCUGCUGAACUGACUUCAUUCCUAGCUGGACUGCAUGGCAAUGUGAGAGGCACUGCCACGCCACAGAUUUGUGCUGACUCAGCCUCCCAGAGCCUCAGUUUACACACCCUCCCUACUCAGCUCCAGUCUGUGAACACUAUUUGACUUCUGGGAUUAAGAACCUAAUGUGGGUAAAGAGCUUCCUCAAAAGCCAGGGCUCGCCUCCACCCAGUUCUAGGGACAUUUGGACUCCUCGUGAGCCUGCAACAUCAUCACCUAAGACAGAUGUGUGUUUGGGAUCACUGUUUUUACAUGGAGAGGAGGCUGCAAAGACAGGCUGAUGUCAUCAGAUCCAGUGAAUUUGAAUCAUGGAGGCCAGUCUUCUGGGGCUGUGUAAACCACCAAUGACGUAUAAGCUGGAUGCAUCUCCAUUUCAUUCCAAUCACUGACUCCAUUCAAGAGAAUGUUUUCUUGUGCUCAGUCUAUGUUGAGCCAUGGACAGACAAGUAUCAUCAUUUUGCCUGUAUUGACAAAGAAUACAGAGAGGCUGAGGAGCCCUUGCUGGGCCAAAUAACUCCUCAGGGCCAGUGAGAUGGUCUCCAAUGCAAGAACAUCCAUCCUGCAGCCAUGCUGGUGGAACAUGGGGUUUAUCCAGCUGCAGAGUUCUGCUUCCAGGUAUGUUAGAGGGCUGGCAGGUAGAAAGAUCCCAAUGGGAAAAGAGUCAGAAGGGGUCUACUCAGCCCUCCUGCUCUCCAGGCACAGAUGACCCAUGGCAUUUAGACACAAAUAUCAGUGAGAAGAACCUAUAUGUGGUAGCACACAGCUGUAAUCCCAGCACUCAGGAGAGUCAAGAUGGAGGCAAACUUGGGUUACAUGGCAAGGAUCUGUCUCAACUUCCCCACAUACACCCCAUAAAUAAAUAAACUUUAGAUCUACAAACUCUCAGACUUUGGAACCCCUGGUCCUCUAUUGAGCCCAACAGGAAAUGACACUCUGGCCAUGGCAACUUUAGGAAGUGAAGAGACUUCCCUUCACAGUGACCAAGUACCUGACUUAAAUAACUGAAGGGAGGAAAAGUUUCUUUUGGCUCAUGGGCUCAAAGAGUUCCAUCCAGUGUGGAGGGACAGCAUGGUGGGAAAUUGUGGUUGACACCACAGAAGCCAGGAAGCAGAGAAAGGGAAUGUACAGGAAGAGGCCCUAGUAAGAGGCAACCCCAAGGACACGCCUCCAGUGACCUCUUCCUGCAUCCAGGCUCCACCUCCUACACCUCCUACCUUUGCCACUUCCUGUUGUAGAAGAGCAUCCUCCUAGCAACAGCAGUCAUCGUUAUCAGACCAACUGUGACUAUUUGCAAGAGUCCAUUAAACACAGGGGACUGUGACAUUCCCUUAAAGAAAAAAGGUGUGGGAGGCUCAUUGGACCCUCACUUAAGUUUCCAGUCAUCCCUCCCAGCCAUUUGUAUAUGAUUCUGUACUAAAUGCAUGUGACCCCAGGGUCUCAGGAGGUACUAGAGUAUACAGAUCAAAUAAAGUUAAUUGCCGAGGGCCUCUAUCUACAUGACUAU